rnacentral:sRNA from 1 species
AUGAUGACGUGCGAAGGGUGGCGAGUCAGCGGUUCCCACGAGGUAUCUCCUGACCUUGUUUGACUCACUGGUGACUUGGUCGGCGCGUGGCGCUGGGAGCUGGCCCAAUCAUAAUCGCCACGCACAACCUCUUUACGUAAGCCGGCUGCUCGCAAUCAACGAGCUAAUUAGCUGCCGGGCCUCUUGCCCAGACAGCCGGUGGGUGUGGUAAUUACGGAGUCUGUUCCGUGGAAACAGUGCUUUCCUGGCCUUCCGACCGACCUGGAGUGCGUCCAUAGUCUGUAGUCCCGCUACCAACAAACCUCAACAAACAAUA